UUUUCUAUACAGAAGGACUGCUUUCUGGGUAGAGUAUAGAAAUAUUAAUUUAGCAAGAGGUAAUUUUUUUUUUAAUAUCACUAACCUUGUUUUCCAGGAAGAAAAGCUACUCAGUCAUGGCUCCAUCUGCUUUUACCAAGAGCACAGAAGUUCUAUUAAUAGAAGGGAAAAUGUUACACUACUGGGUGUAAUACCUGAGUCUCCUGCCUUCACUUGGUUCCCUACGGUUAGAAGAGAUGGUGUGGUGAGAGGCCUGGAAGCCACAGAGUCUGAUUCUUUUGCUGUUACUCCUGUGUGGCUGGACUGGGACGAAGGAGGCGAUGGGACUCUAGAGACAGGUGAGUCACAUACUGUGAGCCCUGGGUUACUUGGGAAAAUGAUGUCCUCUAUCUGGAGCAGACCUGACAUGACACGAUAAAGAUGUGUCUCAGU
rnacentral:lncRNA from 1 species